rnacentral:rRNA from 1 species
UACAGAGGUCCCGAGCGUUGUUCGGAUUCAUUGGGCGUAAAGGGUGCGUAGGUGGCGCUGUAAGUGGGGUGUGAAAUCCCGGGGCUUAACUCCGGAACUGCAUUCCAUACUGCGGUGCUUGAGGACUGGAGAGGAGACUGGAAUUUACGGUGUAGCAGUGAAAUGCGUAGAGAUCGUAAGGAAGACCAGUGGCGAAGGCGGGUCUCUGGACAGUUCCUGACACUGAGGCACGAAAGCGUGGGGAGCAAAAGGG